AACGCUGGCGGCGUGCCUAAUACAUGCAAGUCGAACGCACUGACAGAGAAACUUGUUUCUCUUGACGUGAGUGGCGCACGGGUGAGUAACACGUGGGAAACCUACCCUUCAGCGGGGGAUAACCGUCGGAAACGAUGGCUAAUACCGCAUAGGUCUUUUAACCGCCUGGUUGAAAGAGGAAAGACGGCUUCGGCUGUCACUGAAGGAUGGUCCCGCGGUGCAUUAGCUAGUUGGUAAGGUAACGGCUUACCAAGGCGAUGAUGCAUAGCCGACCUGAGAGGGUGAUCGGCCACAUUGGGACUGAGACACGGCCCAAACUCCUACGGGAGGCAGCAGUAGGGAAUCUUCCGCAAUGGACGAAAGUCUGACGGAGCAACGCCGCGUGUGUGAAGAAGGUCUUCGGAUCGUAAAGCACUGUUAUUAGAGAAAAACAACCGGUAGAGUAACUGUUACCGGCUUGACGGUAUCUAAUCAGAAAGCCACGGCUAACUACGUGCCAGCAGCCGCGGUAAUACGUAGGUGGCAAGCGUUGUCCGGAUUUAUUGGGCGUAAAGGGAGCGCAGGCGGUGACUUAAGUCUGAUGUGAAAGCCCACGGCUCAACCGUGGAAGGUCAUUGGAAACUGGGUCACUUGAGUGCAGAAGAGGAAAGUGGAAUUCCAUGUGUAGCGGUGAAAUGCGUAGAUAUAUGGAGGAACACCAGUGGCGAAGGCGACUUUCUGGUCUGUAACUGACGCUGAGGCUCGAAAGCGUGGGGAGCAAACAGGAUUAGAUACCCUGUUAGUCCACGCCGUAACGAUGAGUGCUAAGUGUUGGAGGGUUUC
rnacentral:rRNA from 1 species